AUGUUGUUCCUGGAGCUCAUCACAAAAUAUAGAUGGAUAUUUGACAAUGGCUCUGGCCUAGAUCUGGCAGACAAGUCUAAUAAGGGCCGGUUGCAUACGUCCAAUGAACAUGUGUGUAAGGUGCUUUCAGCCGUGGACAACAACUACAACAAAAACAUUCGACUCCAAAACCAGACGGGACGGCCAUCGGGCUAUUUCCCCAAGUGCUGCGACAACUGCAGGUCCUUCUCGGGGAUCGACGUCGGUGACGACGCCCAUCCUGAGUGCCCCAAGGGCUGCUUGCAGUGCCGCGUGGUGCAGACGAGCCCUGCCAAGACGUUCAGGUGCGCCGACUACCGCGGAGACUCCGACGACACGUGCGGCCCGCCCUGCAAGAAAAACUGA
rnacentral:rRNA from 1 species